rnacentral:rRNA from 1 species
UACGUAGGUCCCGAGCGUUGUUCGGAUUUAUUGGGCGUAAAGCGAGCGCAGGUGGUUUAUUAAGUCUGGUGUAAAAGGCAGUGGCUCAACCAUUGUAUGCAUUGGAAACUGGUAGACUUGAGUGCAGGAGAGGAGAGUGGAAUUCCAUGUGUAGCGGUGAAAUGCGUAGAUAUAUGGAGGAACACCGGUGGCGAAAGCGGCUCUCUGGCCUGUAACUGACACUGAGGCUCGAAAGCGUGGGGAGCAAACAGG